CCUACGGGAGGCAGCAGUGAGGAAUAUUGGUCAAUGGGCGGAAGCCUGAACCAGCCAAGUAGCGUGCGGGAUGAAGGCCCUACGGGUCGUAAACCGCUUUUGCACGGGGAUAACACCCUCCACUUGUGGAGGUCUGCAGGUACCGUACGAAUAAGGGCCGGCUAAUUCCGUGCCAGCAGCCGCGGUAAUACGGAAGGCCCGAGCGUUAUCCGGACUCAUUGGGGUUAAAGGGCGCGUAGGCGGGCGUUCAAGUCAGUGGUAAAACCGCGCGGCGCAACCGCGCGACGCAGUUGAGACUGGAAGACUUGAGUUCACAACAGGCAGGCGGAAUGAGUGGGGUAGCGGUGAAAUGCAUAGAUAUCACGAAGAACCCCGAUAGCGAAGGCAGCCUGCCGGGGUGCGACUGACGCUGAGGCUCGAAGGUGCGGGUAGCGAACAGGAUUAGAUACCCGAGUAGUC
rnacentral:rRNA from 1 species